UACGGGGGGGGCAAGCGUUGUUCGGAAUUACUGGGCGUAAAGGGCUUGUAGGUGGCCAACUAAGUCAGACGUGAAAUCCCUCGGCUUAACCGGGGAACUGCGUCUGAUACUGGAUGGCUUGAGUUUGGGAGAGGGAUGCGGAAUUCCAGGUGUAGCGGUGAAAUGCGUAGAUAUCUGGAGGAACACCGGUGGCGAAGGCGGCAACCUGGACCAACACUGACACUGAAAAGCGAAAGCCAGGGGAGCAAACGGG
rnacentral:rRNA from 1 species